rnacentral:rRNA from 1 species
CGGAGGGAUCAUUACCGAGUUUACAACUCCCAAACCCCUGUGAACAUACCAAUUGUUGCCUCGGCGGAUCAGCCCGCUCCCGGUAAAACGGGACGGCCCGCCAGAGGACCCCUAAACUCUGUUUCUAUAUGUAACUUCUGAGUAAAACCAUAAAUAAAUCAAAACUUUCAACAACGGAUCUCUUGGUUCUGGCAUCGAUGAAGAACGCAGCAAAAUGCGAUAAGUAAUGUGAAUUGCAGAAUUCAGUGAAUCAUCGAAUCUUUGAACGCACAUUGCGCCCGCCAGUAUUCUGGCGGGCAUGCCUGUUCGAGCGUCAUUUCAACCCUCAAGCCCCCGGGUUUGGUGUUGGGGAUCGGCGAGCCCUUGCGGCAAGCCGGCCCCGAAAUCUAGUGGCGGUCUCGCUGCAGCUUCCAUUGCGUAGUAGUAAAACCCUCGCAACUGGUACGCGGCGCGGCCAAGCCGUUAAACCCCCAACUUCUGAAUGUUGACCUCGGAUCAGGUAGGAAUACCCGCUGAACUUAAGCAUAUCAAUAAGCGGAGGAAAAGAAACCAACAGGGAUUGCCCUAGUAACGGCGAGUGAAGCGGCAACAGCUCAAAUUUGAAAUCUGGCUCUCGGGCCCGAGUUGUAAUUUGUAGAGGAUACUUUUGAUGCGGUGCCUUCCGAGUUCCCUGGAACGGGACGCCAUAGAGGGUGAGAGCCCCGUCUGGUUGGAUGCCAAAUCUCUGU